rnacentral:rRNA from 1 species
UGCCCACUGAUUUAUUAAUUAAAGGGCUGCAGUAUUUUGACUGUACAAAGGUAGCAUAAUAAAUAGUCAUUUAAUUGAUGACUUGUAUGAAAGAUUGGAUGAAAUAUAAACUGUCUUAAAUUUAAAAUUUAAAAUUUAAUUUUUUAGUUAAAAAGCUAAAAUAAUAUAAAAAGACGAGAAGACCCUAUAGAGUUUAAUUAAUUUUUUUAUUUAAUAAAUGUUAUAGUAAAGUGUGUUUUAUAAUAUGAAUUUAAUUUGGUUGGGGUGAUGAAAAAAUUAAUUUAACUUUUUUUUUUAUUUUUACAUUAAUAAAUGAAUAUUUGAUCCAAUUUUAUUGAUUGUAAGAAAAAAUUACCUUAGGGAUAACAGCGUAAUUUUUUUUUUUAGUUCAUAUAAAAAAAAGAGUUUGCGACCUCGAUGUUGGAUUAAGAUAAAAUUUAAAUGUAGAAGUUUAAAGUUUUGA